AACGAACGCUGGCGGCAUGCCUAACACAUGCAAGUCGAACGAGAUCUUCGGGUCUAGUGGCGCACGGGUGCGUAACGCGUGGGAAUCUGCCCUUUGGCUCGGAAUAACAGUUGGAAACGACUGCUAAUACCGGAUGAUGACGAAAGUCCAAAGAUUUAUCGCCAGAGGAUGAGCCCGCGUAGGAUUAGCUAGUUGGUGUGGUAAAGGCGCACCAAGGCGACGAUCCUUAGCUGGUCUGAGAGGAUGAUCAGCCACACUGGGACUGAGACACGGCCCAGACUCCUACGGGAGGCAGCAGUGGGGAAUAUUGGACAAUGGGCGAAAGCCUGAUCCAGCAAUGCCGCGCGAGUGAUGAAGGCCUUAGGGUUGUAAAGCUCUUUUACCCGGGAUGAUAAUGACAGUACCGGGAGAAUAAGCUCCGGCCAACUCCGUGCCAGCCGCCGCCGUAA
rnacentral:rRNA from 1 species